UGGGGAAUAUUGCACAAUGGGCGCAAGCCUGAUGCAGCCAUGCCGCGUGUAUGAAGAAGGCCUUCGGGUUGUAAAGUACUUUCAGCGGGGAGGAAGGGAGUAAAGUUAAUACCUUUGCUCAUUGACGUUACCCGCAGAAGAAGCACCGGCUAACUCCGUGCCAGCAGCCGCGGUAAUACGGAGGGUGCAAGCGUUCAUCGGAAUUACUGGGCGUAAAGCGCACGCAGGCGGUUUGUUAAGUCAGAUGUUAAAUCCCCGGGCUCAACCUGGGAACUGCAUCUGAUACUGGCAAGCUUGAGUCUCGUAGAGGGGGGUAGAAUUCCAGGUGUAGCGGUGAAAUGCGUAGAGAUCUGGAGGAAUACCGGUGGCGAAGGCGGCCCCCUGGACGAAGACUGACGCUCAGGUGCGAAAGCGUGGGGAGCAAACAGG
rnacentral:rRNA from 1 species